rnacentral:misc_RNA from 1 species
CGAAAUUUUAUAGGAGAUCUUUUGACUCAUCCAUCAUACAGUAUAGUCAAAGGUUAUCAAGGCUAAUUGAGAAUUUGAUGUCUGUUCUUAGAAGUAUGCAUGCAAGGCAAUUUAAAUGAGGUACUGAAACACCAAUAAAAAUGUGAAAGGCCUUAGUUUAGGCUCCUUAGGCAUGCCUAAACUAAAGGGUAGGUUUAAAAUUUUGCUCCACUUACUGUCUGUUGCUUUGUCUCAAGUUUCAAAGGAGGGCUAUUUAUUUGCGUUGAUGUAGGUCUUAAUGUAGUUUUAUGUUUGGAAUAUUGGAAAUUGUUAAAGGGGAGAGGAGUUAGUAAGGUUUGAAUUGUGACCUCUUGCAGUCGGGGGUUGACAGGCAUUCUUAAUAUAUUACUAUUAAUGAUAUAAUUUUUCUAAAUUAAAAA